UUUGUGUUUCUUUUGCAUCAAAGUUGUUUGGAGAUUGAUUGUUAAUUUGUGUAAUAUUGUAACUAAAGAUGACAUAUAUGAAUAUGAGGGUAAAUUUUUAUUUGAUUUUUUAUAUAUUUUCCUCUAUUUGUCGGCUCACGUUUUUUGUAACGUCAAUUUGACGUUAAUGACCAAAAAUAAAGUUUUUGGAUAUUGUAGAGAUGAAAUCCAAACAAAUAUUUUUCAGAGACUAAAAACACGGGGACCAAAAAUAUAUUUAAACGUUUUGGUCCACGCUUCCUUUUGUCAAUUAACAUUUUUGUAACGUCCAUUUGACGUUAAGGACAAAAAAUAAAUUUUCCUGAUAUUACUGGAUGAAAUCCAAACAAAUAUUUUUAUAUGUACUAAAACUAAAAACGGUUAUAUUUACAGGGACCAAAAAUAUAUUUAAACAAAAAAAAAAUUAUGUUGAUAUAAUAUUUUGUUGAUAUAUGUACUUUUAAAGAGUAGGUCUUAAUUGAAAAUAUAAUCAUUCUUGUUAAGAUUUAAAUUACAUUUAGACACAAAUUCAUAGGUUGCUUCAUUUUAUCAAAUUAAUUAAAACAAUAAGUUAUAUUUUAGCUUAACUUGUUUUAAAAAAUCAAACUAAUAGAAACCUAAAUAAAAGUUAACGAGCAGUGAUAUUAAAAACCUGAAUAAAAGUUAACGAGUAGUGAUAUUUGGACAUUCAGAUUUGGCUUGAGAAUGUUUAGGGUGUGCGACUAUAUAAGAUCUCAAGUAUUCAGGGAAAUCAAAAUUUUAUUUUUAUAGUAUAAAAAAUUAUAUAGUAAAAAAAUGUUAAAGGUUGUGUAGUUUUAUGUUUUUUCUUCUUAAACUCUAGAUCUAAAAUUCUAAAUUCAUAAUUGUUGAACCUUUAUGAUUGAAUAUGUACAAAAAAACGAUUGGCAUUUUUUAAUCAUUAGAUUUGAAUUUAAACCCUAGAAAAAAAAAUAGUUUUGUUUAUCAAAUUCUCUUACUCUUAUUACUCCUUGGUCCUAAAAUUUAUGAUAAAGAACAAAAAGUUCAAAUUAUUUGUUUUAAGAAUCUCUUUUACUAACAAUUAUUCGUUCCUACUUUCAUCUGAAAAACAUAAUCAUCUCUUGUUAAAAUGAUGGCUGAAUGGGAUCUUAACAUCUUGUCGUGCAAAAGUAUAUAUAUGUUGAUUGCAUCGAACAUCAAAAAAUUCAUUAUCAUUAUCUUAGUCAUAAGAUCCAAGCUGAAUUGAUUAAUAUGUAUAAAAAAACAUAAUAAUUUAUUUAAAAUUGCAUCAAAUAUAAUAAAAUACAUUAUCAUAAUAUGACUUAUAAUAAAAUAAAAAACAUGAAUAAAAAUAAAAUAGGACACCAAUUUCAAACUUUGCACAUGACACUAAAAUUUUCAAGAACCACUUUGUGAACAUUUGUUACUUUUCUACACCCAUUUACCACUUCAUCCUCUCCUUAUCUCUUUCUUUCUAUCACAUCACUAUUCAUUACAUUAUUUUCUCUAUUUUUUUUUUUCUUUAUGUGAAGGUAUUGAUAAGGUGUAUGGGUAUAUAUCCAAAUAUAAUUGUUAACAAAUCAAUUUUACAUAUCAAUUAUUAUAUUUGAACACCUUUAAUUUUCAUUUAUUUAUUCAACACUUUGAACACUUCAAUCUUACAUAUCAUUAUCUAUUUUUUCUCUCUCAAAGUAUCAAAUGUAUGUUUGAAUGUCUACUAAUACUACGUAUAUUUCGAACAAACCAAAAGAAUAGCCAAUCUUGUAUUAUAACCAUAAAUAUAUUAUUAAAUAACUCCGAUGGUCCAUAAUAAAAUGUGGUGGAUGAUAAAAUUUAAUGGUAAAAAAAAGUAGACCAUCAUAUACCAAUGCAUCUAUUGGGUGAAUGCUAAAAGGAACCGUCCACCAAACAUUUUUCCUUUACAUAUUCUUUUACCAUGGAAUUCUAGGUAUUAGCUAGAUUGUGUACAACAAAAUAACAAGGAGGAAAAAAAUAUCAAACUCAUGUGUAUGUGAUUUUUAGUUUCGUAAAUUUGAUACCAAUAGAAAAGCUUGAUGAUAAUAGUCAUCGACUAUAAUAGUUAAUAAAUAUUUUGACCCAAAAAAAUACUUAUUAUUAUUGUUAGAGUAAAUGGUUAACAUCAAUAGCAACAUAAAAAUUACAUUAAAAAAAUAGAAAACAUAAACUAAUAUUUAAUUGAAUAAUAUCUUAGUAAUUGAUUUUAGUGAAACCCAAAUCUCGUAAAAAUGUUGUAUUUUUAUUUUUUUAAAUUUAUAUAUUUUAUUUUAAUAAAACAUUUUAGAAGCAACUUAUUGUUAUAAAGAGAAAAUAAAAUGUUAAUUAAUCGAGAUAAAUUUUGAAUAUAAUAUUAAAAGUUAUAUACUUUUAUUGUUUCUUAAAAUAUAGACAAUUUUGUUGACGAUAAAUUUGACACAAACUUUUAAAAAUAAAAAUAAAAUAUUUUCUCAAAGUAUAGUAGCCCUUAAAGCAUGUCACGAUGUUCAACGUCCUUCAUGUAUAUACAUAAAUAUUGUCGGUUUUAAUAAGUCUGGCAGGUUAAUACACCACGUAUGACUACAAUUACAAGUUGACACCUCAUGAACAUCUGUUUUAAACCAAACUCUUCUUUGGUCCACUCCAAAUUAGACCUAAACUCAAUAUUACCUAACCCUAUCUCCACCUCAAUCACAUACACGACUACAAUUAUAAGUUGACACCUCGUGGAGAAUUGUUCUGGACCAAACUUUGAUCCACUCCAAAUUAGACCCAAACAUAAUAUCACCUAAUUCUAACCUCCACCUCAAUCACAUGUUAAUAUUGGAGUGCAAUUUAUAGCGACUAAAUAUUGAUAGUGUAGCUAUUUUAUAUACAAAUAUUAUAAUUUUUAUGCAAAAAAUACAAUUUUUUAGAAGGCCCAACGGGAUUUGAACCGGUGCAGUCAGAUGCUCUACUACUGAGCUAUCAACCCAAGUGCUUUUUAGAAUUUAAUUAAUAUAAUAAUUUUACUAAAUAAAACAAAUGAUUUAAUUAUAAAAUUUGCAAUUGGCACAUAUUUAAUGAAAAAAUAAUGAAUUUAUCGUACUUUAUUUAAAUAUUUUAGGAAAUACUUUUUUUUUGUGUGCCAGCAAUUAUUAUAUCAUACAAAGAUCAAACGAACAUAAACCCUAUACAUAAUAUAAAGGUCCAACAUAAAAAUUUUAUUUCAUUUCGUCCUUUGUUUAAUUGUCGAUUUUAUAUAAAAUAUUGUUACCAUAUAUUAGUUGAUUUCAAAUUGUACAAUGCAACAUUAACUAUUGAAUUAUAAAGAAUUAUAUAUAUAUAUACAUAUCUAAAUCACUCGUCAUAAUAACAUGUUGGAAAAAUAUAGGUGUCCACAAAUUUUGUAAAUAAGUAAUGAUAUAUGUGUAACACUUGAUUAAUCACGUAUAAAAAUAUGAUUAAUUCAAUUAAGUAAUCGAUUAAUUGAGCUAAUUAACCAACAUUUUAAACGUAGUUUAAAUUAAGUGUCCGAUACUUCUACUCUAGGAGAAUAUAAACCAACUAUAAAUGGUACCAUAAAUUUUGAAAAUUAGGUGCAUGGAUGCCAUGUGCACAACAAAUACAUCUUCUUGGAUACAACAAUGGUACCACACAACACAAAGAUUUGCAAAACUAGUUGUGCAUGAAUGCCAUGUAAAGAAAACACCCUCUUGGAGACAACCAUAAAGUUUGGAAACGAUCAUGAAGUUGUGUUGCAUGGAUGACAUGUACUCAAACUUGGUAUCCAUUUAUACAAAUAAAUGAUUGAACAAUAUAUAUACGACAAGUUUUGCAUGCAAUUGUGAAUUUAUUCUCUAAAUAAUAAGAAUAUUGUAACAAUCUCAUAUUCAUCUCACUAAGAUUCAACAAUCAUCACUUUUUUAUAGCCGACAAAUGGAGUUUGAAUAUUUAUCUCUUUUAGCUUUGUUUUGUGUAGCGGCCUAUAUUCUACUAUGCUAGCUUGAUCAUAUUAUAUGUAUGGUUUUCGUUUGAAAUCAUCAUGAACACAAAUCUAUUGUGAGUAUUUUAUACAUUUGGCUUUUGUGAGAAUUGGUGCCUUAGCUAGGUAUGGUAAUGGGGCAAUUUUUGCAUUUCUUACCCAUGUAUCUGACUAGUCAUGGAAAAUCUACACCCGCUUUUAUUUUUUAUCGGGUGUGAAAUUUAAACCUUCAUUCCUAUCUGCGACGGGGUUCGGCCUUCCCUGCUUGCACUCACACUCAUUCAUAUAUAUAAAAUAAUAAAUUUAAAAGUUAUAUUUAUUAUAAUUAAUAUUAUACAAUAAUAAAAUUAAAAAAAAAUAUUAAAAUCAUGUUUUCUAUAGAGAGAAAAUUCUAAUUUUAAUAUUUAAAAAAUAUUAAAUAUAUUGAAUAUGUAUAUGUAUAUAAAAAUUUAAAAAUGACAAUAAAUUUGUGUGCUCAAACCCCUCAACAAAUCGGUGUCGCUGAGAUAAAGAACCGACACUUGGUGGAAAUGGCUCGUAUCAUACUCCUUCACAAUAAUGUACCUCCUCGUUUUUUGGGGGAUGCAAUUCUCAUAGCUUGCUACUUAAUCAAUCGCAUGCCUUCCUUUGUACUUGAAAACAAGGUACCACAUUCUAUUUUAUUUCCUCAACAAAAUCUUUAUACCCUACCACUCCGUAUCUUUGGGUGCACAUGUUUUGUUCAUGACCUUACUCCAUGGAAAUAUAAGCUUGUUGCAAAAUCCCUUAAGUGUCUUUGUCUCGCUACUCUCGCUGCAGAAAGGUUAUCGGUGCUAUUCUCCAGAUAUUCGACGAUACUUUAUCUCUGCCGAUAUCAAUUUCUUUGAGACUCGUCCUUUCUUUCUCUCUACUGCAGAAGAGUUCAAUGAUUCUGGUCAGUCACAAUCUAUCUCUCCAGAGGUCCUUAAUCUCCCCAUUGCACCCACCCCUAUCUCUAUUUCCACCCCUGUCUCUAGCACCACCCUAUGCACCUACCAACGAGGCCCCGUCCACCACCCGCUCCUCAAGACUCAUCCCCUGCUCUACCUAACUCUCAUUCUCUGCAUCCUACACAAGGGCUACCCAUUGCUUUGCAUAAAAGUCACAGGUCAUCUCAAAAUCCUAAUCCUAUAUAUGUUUGUCAUUUGAAUUAUAAUCAAUUAUCUACAUCCUAUUAUGCUUUUGUGGCUUCCUUGGAUUAUGUGUCUAUUCUGAAAACUACAAGGGAAGCUAUGUGUAAUCCUGGCUGGCGACAAGCAAUGAUAGAUGAAAUGAAUGCUUUUCACUCCAAUGGGACAUGGGAUUUAGUACCUCUACCUGAUGGAAAAACCACAGUGGGGUGUCGUUGGGUCUAUAUAGUCAAAGUUGGGUCUGAUAGAAAUAUUGAUCGCUUAGAAGCUCGUCUUGUGGCAAAAGGAUACACACAGAUCUUCAGCCUUGACUAUGGGGAUACCUUUUCUCCAGUUGCCAAAAUCGCAUUCGUCUGACUUUUUCUUGCCAUAGCUGCUAUUCACCACUGGCCUCCACCAAUUAGACAUAAAAAAUUUCUUCCUGCAUGGAGAGUUACAAGAUGAGGUGUAUAUGGCACAACCACCAGGCUUCACUGUUAGCGGUACCUCUCACUUGGUAUGUCGAUUACAUCAAUCUCUAUAUGGCAUGAAACAACCUUCCCGUGAUUGGUUUGAGAGGUUUAGUACCGUGCUCUAGGAGUAUGGUAUGACUAGAUGUGAAGCUGAUUACUUGGUUUUCUUCUUGCACUAUUCACCAACCACUUGCAUCUACUUGCUUGUCUAUGUUGACGACAUCAUCAUCACAAGUAAUGACUAGGUUGACAUUCAUCAGCUCAAACAACAUUUGUCUCAAAACUUUCAGACUAAAGAUUUGGGACCGCUAAAAUAUUUUUUAGGGAUUGAGGUUGCUCAGUUUAACAAUUACUCAGUGGAAGUAUGCCCUUGAUAUACUUGAAGAAACAUGCAUGCUUGAUUGUCGCCUGCGUGAUACUCCUAUGGAUCCCAAUGUCAAGCUCCUACCAGGUCAGGGGGAGCCAUUGCAAGGCCCUGAUAGAUAUCGACGACUUGUUGGCAAACUUAAUUAUCUUACAGUAACUAGACCUGAUAUUGCAUUUGUUGUAAGUGUAGUCAGUAAAUUUUUGAUGCUCCAUGUGAUAGUCACUGGAAUGCUGUGAUUCAUAUUCUUAGGUAUUAUGAAUCCAGGUCACCAAGCCCCUAAGUGACUUAGGUAUUAUGUAGUCAGUAAAUUUUUGAUGCUCCACUGGAAUACUGUGAUUCAUAUUCUUAAGUAAAUUCAAUUCAAUGACCCCUAAGUGACUUAGUGAAUGCACCAAGCAAGGGUAACAUCGAAGUUGUUGGCUACUCUGAUGCUGAUUGGGUAGGGUCACCAUCAGAUAGAAGAUCCACUUCUGGGUAUUGUGUCCUUGUUGGAGGUACUUUGAUAUCGUGGCGGAGUAAGAAGCAAAACAUAGUCGCAAGAUCGAGUGCAGAAGCAGAAUAUCGUGAUAUGGUUGCAACGACUUGUGAACUUACAUGGCUAAAACAAUUACUCAAACAACUCAAGUUAUGAGAUGUCAAUGUAAUGAAACUAAUUUGUGAUAACCAAAUUGCACUUCAUAUUGCUUCCAAUCUGGUCUUCCAUGAGAGAACAAAACACAUAGAGCUUGAUUGUCAUUUUGUAAGAAUUAAAGUUCUUUUCGGAGAAAUCACAACUAAUUUUGUUGGUUCAAAUGAUCAAUUGGCUGACAUAUUCACUAAGUCACUUAGGGGUCAUUGAAUUGAAUUUAUAUGUAACAAGUUUGGUGCAUAUGAUAUGUAUGCUCCAACUUGACGAGGAGUGUUAGAAUUUAAAGUAUGAUUAUUAUUCUUUGACUAUACAAUUUCCUAGGUUAAUUGGUAGAACUUCUAGUCAAACACAAGUUUCUAGUAUUUUAAUGUAAUUAUCGUAACCUCAUUAUAAAUAGAAGAUGCGUGAUCAAAUAGUUCUUCAUCAUUUCUCUAACUAUAAAAAUAUAUUUAUUCAUAAUUGGUGAUCUUACAACUAUGAAAGUACACAACUAGUUGGAUUUGUCCAUGUCGAACCAUAUUAGCCACUUUACUAUUUAAGCUUCAAGAUUCACAUAAAUGCUCAAAUUGAAAUACCAAGCAAUUAUCUAUUUCUUAUGUAUUCAAUCUCAAAUAUUUUCUCUAAGCAAACAUAUUUUAGAUGCUCUUUCUAGAGUUUAGAAAAUAUUAUAUAAUCAAUAUAAACAAUAGUUAUAUCAAAUGUUUUAAAAAAAAUCAAGAAUGAGAAAUAUAUUAUUUAUUAUAAUAUAUUAAAAUAACCUUAAACAUUCUCUCCAUUGAUAUAUCAUCUAUUUAUGUGUCACUUACUCAAAUUUAUUCCACAUCAUAAAAAUUUGAUGUGUCACUCUCUAUAUUCAUUCACCCUUAUUAAAUUAUAUCUUCUAUGCUUUCAUUGUAAUACCUUAUCAUUCAUGUCCUUAAAUGCAAUUCAUUUUUAUAAUUUUUGGUUACUUAAUCUAUCAAUGCAUAUGACUAUUGUUUUCACCUUUUCUGUUACUAAACUUUGUUUUGUAAAAAAAAAAAUUUUGGACCUCACUAAACUUCUUUGUCUUCUAAACUUAAACAUAAUCUUCUAAACUUAAACAUAUCUGCUAAUUAACUUUUAAGUCACACACCCUUACUUAAUAAAUUUAUUAAUGUUAAUAUAUUAUCAUCAAUGUGCUCAUUUUAAUUUCUAAAUCAAUUUGUAACAUAAAUUUUAAAUAAUCAAUUCAUUCAUUCUAUUUGGUAGUUGAAUUAUUUUUUAUUCUAAACCAAAGUAUUGUAUUAAUCUUAUUUGAUAAUUCAUCAAUUUUUAGAAGAGUUUGCGUUUAAGAUUAUUUGUAAUUUUUUGCAGGGAUCAAAUUUGCUAAUUUAGAUUUGUGUUUUUCAAUUUCAAGUCUCUGUUGAGAUUUGCCAGUUUAAAUUUCUUGCAUUGAAGAAGUAAAAUUAAUGAAGGUUCUCUUCCAUUGUCAAAAAAGACCAACAAUAUUGGAUAGCUACUAUGGUAACAUUAUCUAAUUUUUAAAUUAAUUAUUUUGUGUUUUUUUUACUAUGAUUUGGUUGUUCUUCUGCAUUUCAUGUUUGAUAAGUCUCUAUUUCAUGUUUGAUAAGUUUAAAUAUUUUUUAUAUGACUGUAUUGUAUCGAUUAGUUGUUGUGUAAAUGUGAAGGUGAUUUAAGUAAAUACAAAAAUGGUGGAUUCAACAUCCAAAUGAUUGUCCUUGGGCGUUAUGUUGCUAGAGGGUACUGCUCAAAGACGGAAAAAUUUAUCUAUAUAUAAAUUAUUUACUAUGUUAAACAUAGUUUGGUUAGUAAGCUAAUGGACAACAAACUAAAUUUAAACAAACCAUGAUACUAAAAUAACUAUACUAAUUUAUUUUUGUGAAUGUUAAUUUUUAUUUCAAUUUCAUUGUGUAUAUUUUAGUAACAUAAACUUUAAACUUAUGUAAUAUUAUUAGAAUAUAUAACAAUGCAAAUAAGAUUUCUGUCAUUUGUAUAAAUAGACACCUUAAUUGUGAUUAUGGAAUAUAUUUCAUUAUCUUAACACAAUUUUGUUAAAGUUGUAACGUUUUCGAGCAUGAAUUGUCUUUUGCACUUUGUAAAUAAUUUUCACAAUGUUGAACUUUUCAAUCUCUUAGUAUAAUACAUUGACUUUCAAUAAAGCUUAGUUCUACAAUUUCAAAAUAAUUUUAUAUAUCUCCGAACUCAACCUCUAACGUGCUGAUAUUUUACAACAUUUCUAUUUGAAGUAUGAUUUUUGACUCAAAAUUAACACUUUUAACUCUUCACGCAAUUUAAAAAAUAAUAAUUUAAUUUCAUGAAAAAUCUCGUGCAAUGUGCAUGGAUCCAUCUAGUUAUUAUUAAAUUGACAUUAAUGACUAUUUUAAAAUUAUACCUUAGAGAAUUUAAAUGAUAUAUGCUAAGUUAUAAUAUUACACUCAUACGACCGAGCUAACACAUCAUAGACAUAAUUAUAACAUAUUUAUUUCUAUGUUUUCUCAAAUAAAUACAUAGAUAAAUACGGCCUUUUAUAUCAUUCAUUUAGAAAUUUUUACUGGCACAAUCAUACCACGUAGGCACACAUUGUAUUAAUCCAUAAAGAAACUUUUUUUUUGACUCAAAUCUAUAAAGAAUUAGUCAAUAUAGUAUUAAGUAAUCUCUUUUAGUUGGACAAUUGAUACUAAAUUAUUGUUGGUUGCCUUCUAAAAAUCUAUCAUGCCUCAUCACUAUACUUAGAAAAGUAAAUUAAGCUUUGUUGAUAUAUAUCUCUAAUAUUUGGAGAAUCAACGUGAAUGGUACCACAAGCUUUAGAGAUUCUAUUGUAACUAUGCUGCAUGGAUGCCAUGUGCACAACAGGUUUAAUAACUCUUAAAGACAAGAAUAGUACCACACAAACUUUGUGGUGCAUGGAAGCCAUUUGGACAAAGUAAAACAAGGUAGUUUUGAUACCCUUUUGGAGACAACCAUAAAGUUUGGAGUGUGAUGCAUGGAUGACAUUUGCACAAGCUUUCUUAACCACUUGGAGGAAUCAAUUUCAAUGUAUAACAAUGGCAUACGACAAGCUUUGCAUGCAAAUGUAACUAAAUAGUUGCAUGUGGAAUUACUAUAUAUAUGGCUACCUUGUAACAUUCAUACACACACUCAACUAAUUAGUUUCUAUAUAGUCAUCACUUCUUCAUAGCCAAUCAAUGGAGUUUGCACGUCUCUCUAUUUUAACUUUGUUUUGUGUAAGCUAACUCAUUUUCUACUUUACUUGAUAACUUUAAGUUAUGAUCUAUAUUGUUUCAAAUUCUUCCAUGCACUUUGAAUGUUUUAAAUUACAAUAUAAAUUAAUCUCAAUGUUUUGUGCAUGCAUAAAUAGUUUUCAUUAGAUAUUAUCAUGAAGAGGGACACUUUUACAAAACAUUGCUAAUAUGUAAUGUGAACAAUAUAUUUUUUGCAGUUAGCUUUUGUGGGAAUUAGUGCAUCACCACUGUCCGGUGAAGAUUAUUGGCAAUCUAUUUGGCCAAACACUCCUCUGCCUAAGAUUUUCUUAGAUCUACUUUUGCCUUGUAAGUAGUAUUGUAUGUGUUUGUUUAUUAACUUUGUUAUAAUGGUUUAGUUUAAUGUUUUGUUGAAGAGUUCAUAUCUCCUACAAUUAAUUUAUGGUACAACAACUAUAAGUACUCUUAAACUUAGAGAUAUAAACUUGAUCUCUCUAAAUCUAAUACUUUUUACAAUUGCUACACCAUAAAUUAGUUGUAGAGAAUCCAAUUUGUUGGUUGAUUGAUCUAUAAAUCAAUGGCUCGUCACGUUAAUGUUAUUGUUUCAUGUGUGAAUUAGUGUCACAUAACAUGAUAUAAGAUACUUUUUUUUUGUUAAUGUACAGAUGGAAGAACCAAUAGUCUACCUAUCAGAGCAGAAGAAAUGAAUCAAUAUUCAACACUCUUUUUCGAACAUGACCUUUAUCCUGGAAAGAAAAUGACCUUGGGUAAUAUUCAAUCUUUGGGAAAGAUGGUGCGACCAUUCAUAAAACCAACACAAGGUGUUACAGACUCCAUAUGGUUGGCAAAUAAAGAGAGACAAAGUCUUAAUGACUUUUGUUCAAGCCCAACUGCUACAGGAGAACACAAACAUUGUGUAUCAUCUUUGGAAUCAAUGAUUGAUCAUGUCAUUUCACAUUUUGGGACAACAAAGAUAAAGGCAAUUUCAAGUACCUUUGUCCAAAACCAAGACCAAUAUGUUGUUGAGGAAGUGAAAAAAGUUGGAGACAAUGCAGUGAUGUGUCAUAGAUUGAAUUUCGAAAAAGUUGUAUUCAAUUGCCACCAAGUGCAAUCAACAAUCGCUUAUGUGGUCUCAUUGGUAGCCCCUGAUGGAACUAAAGCUAAGGCUUUAACAGUUUGUCACCAUGAUACAAGAGGGAUGAACCCUGAGUUGCUUUAUGAAGCUCUUAAAGUUGAUCCUGGAACCAUCCCUAUUUGUCAUUUCAUUGGAAAUAAGGCUGCUGCAUGGGUGUCCAAUCAUUCUAAUGACCAUCUAUGUGUUAUUUAGGUGCUAACUUGUUGUGCACAUCAUUUCUCAUUCAAUAAUUUUACACUAAACAUGUGUUUGUAUGGAGAAACACGAUGUGCAAGUAUCAAAUCUCAUGUAUUUCAAAUAAAACUAGGUAGUUCUAUUCUAGUUAGAACUAUGGGUGUACUUUGGUAUGGUCGGUAGGCAACCUAGUUUCCUAUGAUCAAUACACCAGUGUACGUUUAAAAUCGAUAAUGAUAAAAAAAUGUUAUUUAAUGUAAUAUAUUGUUGAUAUUUCAUUUGUGUUUUAAAAAAGUAGAAUAUGUCUAGGGAUGUCAAUGGGUAGGAUUUGGAUUGGAUAUUAUAGUACUCGUUCCCUUAUCCGCAUUUUAUAAAAAUAUUCAUACUCGUGCUCGUGUAUCAACUUUAAUAUGUGUACCCUUACCCUUUGGGUACCUUAUUCGUCCAUAUACCUAUUAUACACACUUUAACUAAAAUAAAUCGAUAAAUAAGUGAUAUUGUUGUGAUUAAUUAUUUAAAAAUUAUUCAAAUAUCUUAAAUCUAAUCAUGAUGCUUAGUUUGUUUGUCAUCAUAGUGUCAAGUUGUUUUUUUUCUCGUUUAAGUGCGGUGUUUACAUAGGCAACAAACUUGUUUGUUUUUCCGUCUAAGUGUGGUGUAUACAAAGACAACAAACUUGUUAUGUUGGUACCAUACUCACUCGUUCUUAUAUAUGAUGAUUUGUCAACACGUGAUUGGAUUGGUCAUUUCAAAGAUCAUCCUAUAAUCAAUAAGAGCGAACACCAACAAUAUAUUUUUCCGAAGAUGGAUUGAAUUAAAACUAUAGAUCUUGUCUUAUUCUUGACUAUUGUCCAGGAAGAAAUUAGUUUGAUUACUUGAAUUAAAAUUUUGGCUUGAUCAUCUUUCAUUGAUUUAUAAAAUCUUUAUAUGUAUUGUUGGCAUGUUUUGUGUUUUUUUAAUUAGUUUUGAUCUCAAAAUAUAGAAGGGGAAUAUUUCAUAUCAUGAUGAAUUUGCUUGUAAUUUUCUUAUUUACAUUUGAAUAAAGCUUAAAACAAAUACAAACAUGCAAUAUAUUUCUAAUAUGGUGAAAAAAUAAGCAAAGAUAGUCACACAACUAGAGAUGACAACACAACUUGUAUUUGCGACUAUCCACUUGAAAUUUUUUCGAUUUGGACAGAGAAAACUCACUUUGAUUGGUUGCGGGUGUAGAUUUUCUCCGGAAUUAAAACUCGGGCGAAGACAGGUUUGGAGUAUUCAUAUCCACCCCGCCUUUGUUCUCAAACUCAUUUUGUUAGUACUAUUAUUGUCAAUUUUAAAUUUUAUAUACAUGUAUUUAUUCAAUAUAUUUAAUAUUUUUUUAAUAUUAAAAAUUAUAAUCUUCUCUCUAGAAAAUAUAAUUUUAAUAUUUUUUAAUUUUAUUAUAUUAAAUAUAAUAAAUAUGACUUUUAAAGUUAUUAUUUUAUGUAUAUGAAUGGGUGUAGAUGUGGUUGGGACCGAACCCCGUCAUAGAUAUAAAUAGAGAAUUAAAUUUUACACCUGAUAACAAACAAGGACGGUGGCGGGUUUUCUCGGGUGCGGGAUGGAGGAGGCGAAACCUGCAUCUGCCCCUAUUACUAUGCCUAAUGAAAACCACGUAAUAAUGAGUUCGUUUGUUUAAGAUUUUUAAAAAGUGAUUUUGACUUUAUAUUGGAAAUUUUUUUUAAGAUAACUUAUUGAAAAAUAUUAUAAGUUGCUUUAGUCUAAUUUGUUAUUGAUUAAAAAAUUAAUUUUGGCAUUCUAUAACUGAGAUAUUUAUUAUUAAAUAUUUUAACAUGAUAAUUUUAACAAAAAAUAUCUAUAAAAAAUGAUUUUUAUGAACAAAAUAAAUUUUAAUUUUAAUUUCUUUUUGAAAUUUCAUUAUCCAAAAAAAUUGUAGCAAAGAGAUAGAAUACUUAAAAUAAUAUUUUAAAAUAAACUAUGUAAAUCAAUUUUUCAUGUAAAAUUUUAUUUUUGAAAUUCUUUUUUAGAAAUUUUAUAACAAAAAGUAAGAUUAUUAUAAAAAUCUUGGACUAUCCCUAUGACUAUGGGAGUUGGAAGCUCUUAUUAAAAUUCUAAUCUAAAUGAAAAACAACCUUGCCCUUUUUUCCUAUAUACUAUAUUACACUCUAACCCUUGUUAUUCUACAAAACUUAAUUAUAGUUUUAUUAAAUUAAAAAAAAAUGUAAGUAGUUAUAAUUUUUUAAUUAAUAAUUUUUCCACUUUGCUAAUUUUUUUAAAAAAAAUUAACUAAAAUUUGAACUAGAUAAAGUAUAGAAGAAGGAAGAAAGAAUAGAGCAUAGAAUAUUAUAAUAUUUGCAUUAUAUUCUUCGAGGUGUAUUUCUAUAAAGUCACAUGAGUUCUAUUGAUAAUAGGAGAUAAAUCUUGUAACUUAUAAGUAUAUUAAGAGUCUAUUUUUAGAUGCACUAACAAUUAAAGCGAAGAACAAUAACAAUUGAGUGAAUGACUUUAAUUUAACUAUGGAGUUAUAUGAUGUAGGAAUAUAAACAUCCACUAAAUACUUUAAUUAUUCACUACACUCCCCCAUAUGAAAACCUUACUAAAAAAACUAGUGGUAAAAAAUUCUUGUGAAGAAAAAAAUUUACAACAUUUUUGUGGGAACUGUCUCAUUAAAAAUACUUUAAGAAAAACUCAAAAGGGAUAAAAUUUCGGUGAAGGAAAAAAUAGUGCAUUAUAUAUUUAUUUAUUUAUCAUUUCUAUGUAGAUAACAAUUUGUUAAACAAUAAAGAUCAAUCAAUUGUAGUAGUUGUUGAAAAAUUUCUUCGGAUGACUUCAUUGAUUUUUGUAUUAUCAAUUGGUUGAACAUUAAGACCAAAAACUAUUAUGCUAUAAUAUCUCUUGUUCUAUCUCCUAUAAUGAAUCAUUCUCAACUAAGGUGUGGAUGCAAUAUUAUUCUCAUAAAUAACUACUAUAGUUAUUGUUAUGAAACUUAAAUCAUAAUUCAUUUGCCUAUGUUGAAUCAUGACAGAUUUAAGUCAAAAACACCUUCUCGACUUUCCUAUGUGUAGUUCUAAGUAUAUAUUUCACUAUAUUUCAAUGCAGUUGUCUAUAUAUAUAAAGGACUACAUUUGUCUAAUAGAUAGAUUAACAACAAAGUAUAUUUUAAUGUGUAUUUUUAGAAAGGUAAAUAAGUAUAAUACAUAUAUAUAUAUAUAUAAUAUUUGGACCGUUCGAAAAAUAUAUUUGUUCCCAAUUGGUGAUCUUAAAACCAUCAAAAUAAACAAUUGAUUUGUUUUGUAUAUAUAGAACCAUUUUAGCACAUUUAUUUUUUAAGCUUCAAGAUUCAUAGAAACUUCAAAUGUUUUAAAAGCUCUUCUUAAGUUUAGAUAAGAUUUAUAUCAUUACCAUAAAUAAUAAUUAUAAUAUUUUUUUUUUUAAAUGGGAGAAGGAUAAAUUAUUAUUAAAUUAACACUAAUGACUAUUUUACGAUUGUUCCAAAUGAUAUUUGAAUUAUAUCUCUUUUGAUUACAAUAUUAAAUUCAUAUUGUUGAGCUACCACCUUAUGAACAUAAUUGUAGCAAAGUCAUUGUACAUAUUUCUAGUAGUGUUAAGUAAUCUAUGUUGCAAUUACAUUUACUAAACAAGAUGCGCUCAAUAUAAAGAUUAAAACUAUAAUUAUAUUUUAGUAUGGAAGUCAAACAAUGAAUGAACAUGCAUAUAAAUUAGGAUCUUCCACAUAUUUGAUUUAUCAAAGAUAUUUUUGAUGAAUUCAUUUAUUGUGGUCUCUCGGUAGUAGUCUUGACACACAUAGAAAAUAAAGACGGAUGACAAACACAAGUCACUUGUUACACACUCAUAUUUGAGUAGAACCCAUAUUAAUUAAUUUAUUUAGUUAGUAAUUCGAAUUAAUUUAAUUUAUUUAUGGCUUAAGUAUAUGUCUAGUCCAUGUAAUUUAAUGGUUUUUUUUGUCCCUAUAAUUUUUUUUGUUUCAAAUUUAGUCACAUAAGUUCAAUUUUGUUUUAAAAUCGUCUUUGUUGUUAGUGACUGUUAAAAAAAGCAGACAUGACAAAUAGAGAAUGGGUGGAAAAAAAAAGUGCAAUCUUACAAGAACAAAAAUAAAAAUUUAAAAAAAAAACACGAAUUUACAAGGACUAAACAUAUAUACUUUGAUUUGAUUUUUGACUCUGCAAGUUCACGCUUUUUUAUUUUCAUUUCUUCUCUGUUUUCCAUGUCAGCUUUUUUCAACAAUAACUAACAAUAUAGACGGUUUUAAAACAAAAUUGAACUUACAAAUUUAAAUUUGAAACAAACAAAAAAUUACAAGAAUGAAAACAAAAAAAAAACGCUAAUUUACAGAAACCUUAAAUUUUUUAAGCUUAAUUUAAUUAUUUAAUUUGAUCGCUAGUCAACUAAUACUCUUAAUAAAUAAAUAAAUAAUAUAAUUAAUAUAAGAUAUUUGUCUACAUAAUAUAAUUAGAAUAUAAUUAAAUAGUAAAAUAUUUCUAAACAUCUGUUCUAGUUGGAAAAUUGACACUAAAUUUUUGUUGGUUGCCUUCUAAAAAUCUAUCAUGCCUCAUCAUUGUACUAAGAAAAAUAAAUUAAGCUUUGUUAAUACCUUUACUCAAGGAGAAUCAACAUUAAAUAUUGGUACCACAAGUUUUGGAGAUUCUAUGUAUCUAUCCUGCAUGGACGCCAUGUCAUGGAAACAACAAUGGUACUACAAACCUUGGAGUGGGAUGCAUGGACGACAUUUGCACAAGUUCUGUUACCCACUUGUAGGAAUCAAAAUGAAUGAACAAAAUGGUUUAAGACAAGCUUUUCAUGUGAACUUACUAUAUAUAAUGGGCACCUUGUAACAUUUAUACACACACUCAAGUAAACUUAUAUAUAGUCAUCACUUCUUCAUAACCAACCAAUGGAGUUUUCACGUCUCUCUAUUUUAGCUCUAUUUUGUGUAAGCUAACUUAUUUUCUACUUCAAGAAUUAAAAGAUCCAUACAAAGUUUUCAUUAGGAAUUAUCAUUAAGGAAUAAGGAGGGACACUUUUUUUAAACAAUACUAAUAUAUGUAAUUUGAAUAUUUUUUAUUACAGUUGACUUUUGUGGGAAUUGACGCAUCACCAUUGUCUGCCGAAGAUUAUUGGAAAUCUGUUUGGCCAAAUGCUCCUCUUCCAAAGGCUUUCUUUGAUCUAUUGUUACCUUGUUAGUAGUAGUAUUAUAUAUAUAUUUGUUAGNNNNNNNNNNNNNNNNNNNNNNNNNNNNNNNNNNNNNNNNNNNNNNNNNNNNNNNNNNNNNNNNNNNNNNNNNNNNNNNNNNNNNNNNNNNNNNNNNNNNNNNNNNNNNNNNNNNNNNNNNNNNNNNNNNNNNNNNNNNNNNNNNNNNNNNNNNNNNNNNNNNNNNNNNNNNNNNNNNNNNNNNNNNNNNNNNNNNNNNNNNNNNNNNNNNNNNNNNNNNNNNNNNNNNNNNNNNNNNNNNNNNNNNNNNNNNNNNNNNNNNNNNGAAUUUACAUUAUGACGAUAGUUGUAUGUAUUUCUUCUAAUUUAUUUUUUAUUCUUUUAAACCCAAUGGUUCCUACGGCUCCUACUCAAUAAAUCAAUUGUAGGAGAUCCAAUUUUUGUUGAUAGAGCUAUAAAUCAAUUGUAGGAGAUCCAAUUUUUGUUGAUAGAGCUAUAAAUCAAUUGCUCAUUAUAUUUUUGUUAUUUUUUCAUAUAUGAAUUAGUGUCUCAUAACAAGAUUUUUAAGACUCAUUUUUAUCUAUUAUUGUGGCAGAUGGAAAAACCAAUAGUCUACCCAUAAAAGUUGAAGAAAUGAAUCAAUACUCGACACUCUUUUUUGAGCAUGAUCUCUAUCCUGGAAAAAAAAUUACCUUGGGUAAAAGUCAAUCUUUGGGAAAGAUGGUACGACCAUUCACAAAACCAACACAAGGUAUCACAGACUCCAUAUGGUUGGCAAAUAAAAAGAGACAAAGUCUUAAUGACUUUUGUGCGAGUCCAACGGCUACAGGAGAACAUAAACAUUGUGUGUCAUCCUUGGAAUCAAUGGUUGAUCAUGUCAUUUCACAUUUUGGGACGACAAAGAUUAAGGCAAUUUCAAGUACUUUUACCCAAAAUCAAGAUGAAUAUGUUGUUGAGGAAGUGAAAAGAGUUGGAGACAAUGCAGUGAUGUGUCAUAGAUUGAAUUUCGAAAAAGUUGUAUUCAAUUGCCACCAAGUGCAAGAAACAACCGCUUACGUAGUCUCAUUGGUAUCCCCUGAUGGAACUAAAGUUAAUGCUUUAACAGUUUGUCACCAUGAUACAAGAGGUAUGAAUCCUGAAUUGCUUUAUGAAGCUCUCAAAGUUGACCCUGGAACUGUCCCUGUUUGCCAUUUCAUCGGCAAUAAGGCUGCUGCUUGGGUACCUAACUUUUCUGAUGACCAUCUUUGUGUCAUCUAGAUGCUAACUUCUUGUGCACAUCAUCUCCCUUUCAAUAACAUCAUGUUCAAACUGGCUUUGUUUUAUUAAAUUUAUGUAUGUAUGUAUGGAGAAUGUGAUGUGCAAGUAUGGGAUUUCAUGUAUUUCAAAUAAAACUACUUCUAUUUUGAAUAUGUGUAUAUUUGCAUGUGUUGGGAGUUUGAUAUCCUCUACUCAGUACCUUGAUGUAUGUUGAACUUGAUAAUAAUGAGAAAAAAAGAGUUGUGUUUGAUAUACCUUGUUGACUGUAGACUUUUUAGACUUUGGAUAGAAAAAUUUCUUCCUUGUUAAAAUUAAAAUUACAAUUGACCAUAAAUCUAUAAGUUUUUCCUUUUCUAUACUACAUUCAAAAGAAGGAAUUGUAUUAAAUCAUAUAUUCAAAAUUUAUUCUCAAAGUAACUAAAAUCACCAAAACACUCGCAGCAUAUAAUAUCAACUCAAUUUUAGUUACAUGUGAUGAAGAGAUUCGUAAAUUAUCUUUUAUAGUUUUGAAUAUAAGUAAAAACUAGAUGUUAAUCUCUGCAAUUUAAGUGGAUCUUUAAAAAAAUCAAUAUGAAAUUUUAUGUCUCAAUUGUCAAAUGAUUAUUGAUAUAGUAGUUAUAUCAAUAAUAUGCAUUUAAUUUUAUAUAUAAAAUUUAUAGAAGAGAAGUAUCAUUGUCACGGAUGUUGUUAGCAAACACACCCAACAAUAAGGUAAGCAAAAAAGAUAUAUGUACUAUCAAUUAAGAAGAAGUGAAGAAACUUCUCAUGUUAUUACGCUCAAUAUUGCAUAUUCUGAAAAAAUGUAUACAAUUGCUAUCAAAUAAGUAAUGGCAGAUAGAGGCGAAAAUAAAACAUAUUGACUAGUAACGUGAAAUUAAUGUGAAAGAUGUUUAGCAAACGUUAUGAAAUAAUAAUGUGAUGUUAUGAAAUAAUAAUGUGAUGUUAUGAAAUAACAAUGUGGGAUUAAUUUAGAAAACUUUGAGUAGACGUUAUAAAAUGAUUAUCUUUAUGAAGACAUACAGUUUUUUGGUUGAUGUGAGAAAUAUUUAUAUAAAGAAAAUAGUACGAGGUAGAUAGAUAAUAAAAUUUAUGAUAAUUACGAAAGUCAAGUAAUUUCAUUUAAUUUUUUGAAUACCAUAAAAAAGGGGGGAGGGCCCUGCCAUAGUUUUUAAAAGUAAUCGCAAAUAACGAUUUAUUGUUUAUUAUUUGUUCACAUUGUUCAAAAAACAUACUAAAACUUUAAUUUCAACUUGUUUUGGCGUAUUCAUAUAGUAUAACAUAGCAGUACUAUAUCAUUUAUUAAUUAAUUUAUUUCCUUUGUAGAAGAUUCAAUUUCAGAAAAAUAAAUUUGGCACAUAUUUUAUAUUAGAUGUUUCAUAUUUUAUUUGAUAAAUAUGAAUAAUUAUUGGAAAUGGUUAAUUAUUAUUAUUUCUUUUUUGUAUUUUUUAUUUUAAAAUUAUUAAUAAUUCAACGGUAAUUAAGAUUUUAAAAAUUAUUUUUUAUUUUUUGUCAAAAAAAUUAUAAAAAUUGAAACAAUACUAUUUAAUUUAUCAUAUGAAUUAGUAGAUUUCAAGUAAAAUUUUAAUAUUUCAAUUAUUUUUUAAAAAAACUUUUUUUUCUAUAAAAUGCAAAAACUGAAUGAAUAAUUAAUAUCAUUUUAUAGACUUAAAUAUAAUUUUAGCUAUUUAUCUUUACCUAAUAAUAAUUUUAUUUUUUUAUCUUUUUUUAUUCAUUUUGGUUCUUUAUUAUCUUUUGUAAGCGGUGUAAUUUAGUCUUUUUCAUCAUAAUUAUUUUAAACAACUAUAUAAUUAUUGUAAAGUUAAGUAUGCAAUUUAAUAAGGAUGGGUGAAAUCUAAGAAACUAUGAUAAACGUCAUUCGUUUCAAAGAGUUCAUAUAUAUUUUAAAGCAUGUAAGAAUUUUUUUUUUUCUAAUGCAAACCUAUUAUUGAGUUAAAUGCAUAUUUUUUUGAAAGAAUACAUUAUACUGAAUACAUAUUGACAAUUGUUAGAAGGGAUUUCAAUUAUCAAAUGUUGUUAUAACUUUUGUUGUCUUUGUGACAAAAACUGAAAUACACCACUUAUAAAAGAUAAAGUACCAAAAUAUUAAAAUAAAUAUAAAGGACCAAAUCAAACAAAAAAAUAAAUAUAUAAAUAACCAAAAUGAAUAUUAAAGAAAAGAUAAAUGACUAAAAUUAUAUUUAAGGCUAUUUUAUAAGAUGUGCAUGCAUUAAAAAAAUAACUAAAUGCUUUCAACUAACUCAAUAGUAUAUAAUUUGAUGUUAAUUCAACUGCACAAACAUAUCUAAUAACUUCUAAUUCUUCAAACAAAAUUUUACCAUUAGGAAAAUGGUCACAUUUUCCCAAGUUUUAAGAUGUUUACAUCAUAUUUUAAUUUAGGUUAUUAUUAAAUAAUAAUUUAACCCUUAAUACUAGACAAAAUUAAAAAUAUUCUCAGAUAUAUAUACAGCUCAAAUCUUCUAUUAAGCUCAAAUCUUCUAUUAAGUGGAUAAUUGUUAAGUUUUUAUUUGAAUGUAACUUUAAUUAUAUAUUUUUUAUAUCUUAAUAUUUAUAUAUCCUAAUUAAUAUUAUUGAAGUAAAAAAAGUUUUGGGUAUCCCUAAAAAAUUAAUGUCUUAAGCAGUCAUUUAUCUCAACUAUACCCUCAAGAAUACCACUGCCUAACGGACGGGUAUUUUUCACCAAUAUUUUGUAUGGUUGAAUACUAGACAAUGUAGUAAAGACUAGUGGACUAAGGAUACUAGUGUCAUGAACCACUUUGGUUUGGUCUUUUGUCACUAAAAAUACCAGAUGUAUUUUGAAUAACCUCUUUUUAAAUUUUUUUUACUUAAAUACUCACUUUUGAAAAGUAUUAACUAAAAUGUCUUUUUUUUAUACCUUAUAAGUCCCCAUUUAUAAAAGUAAUUUUUCCGUUGCAAUGGCGACUUCCUUAAAUAAUUUAAAAAAAAAAUUAAUUUAUAUAUAUAUAUAUAUAUAAUUCAUAAAAAUACAUAAACACAAAUUUUAAAUUACAUAGAUUCACUAGAGUUGUCUAUAACAUUUUAAAUUACCUAAUUUAUUCAUAAAAACAUCACAAAUUUUACAAAAAUUACGAUAAAAUUAAUGUCGAAAAUGACCUCCAGUAUCAUAUUGCCUAUGUUUUCUCACAGUACAUAUGUACCAAGGCGUCGUCAAAAUCUCGUUCGUGUGAGAAAAUAUUGGCAAUGUGGUACUGGAGAUUACCUUCGACAUUAAUUUUAUCGUGAUUUUUGUAAAAUUUAUGAUGUUAUUUAUGAAUAAAUUAUAUAAUUUAAAUUUUGUGUUUAUGUAUUUUUAUGAAUUAUAUAUAUAUAUAUAUAUUGUUAAUUUAAUUUUUUUUUUUUGAAAAUUGCUUAAAGAAAUCGUCAUUGCAAAUUCGGACUUCCUUAAAGAAGUCGCCUUUGCAAAUAGAGACUUGUAAGAUAUAAAAAUAAAAAUAAAAAAAAUAAAAAAGAACAUUUUGAUUAAUAGUUUUCAAAAGCGGGUUAACUAAAUAAAAAAUUUAAAAGAGGUUAUUAAAAUAAAAAUAAAAAAAAACCUAUAUCAGAGCACUAGUAAGGAAAAAUAUACACAAAUUAUAUAUUACUUUGAAAAUGUUCAUUGUAUAAUGUAACAUUUUUAUUUAUAUAUUUAUAAAAAAAAUCAUAUGUUGUUCUUUUGUUUUUAGCAAAGGCCAGUUAAUUUAAAUAGGUUUGUUUGUUUCAAUAUUUUAUUUAUUUUAAUUUAAAUUUUUUAUUGGAUUGUUUGUGUAUAAAUUUUAUUAUUGAUUUUUUUUUUCAGAUGUAAUUAUUAUAUUUUAAUAUAUUUUGUGGUUAUUUAUGGUUGCUAUAUUUUAAUUAUUAAAAUAUAGUUAAAAUAUUGUGAUGUAUUUAUAUACAAUAAAUUUAAAAAGUAAUUGAUAAUUAAAUCAAAUUUGUAAUGAAAGCUAUAUUUUUUUAUUGUUAGUUUUUAAUCAUAGUUACAUAGAACAAAGAAGUAGUAGAAUGAUAAAUAAAGAAGAAAUGAAUUCUAGAGAUAUAACAUGUCGUCUUAUCGAAGGACUUAGGAUAAUUAGUAUUACAUGACAUAUAAGGAUGUAUUUGUGAAUAAUAUAAUUAUUUGAGGAUUUAUUUUAAUAUAUUAUUGUAUAUUGUAUAUUUUAUAUUGAUCCUAAUCUCAAUGAAGAAAAAAAAAACUUAUCGUUUUUUCUAUAUACUAUAUUACACUCUAAUCCGUAUUGUUCCACAAACCUUGAUUAUAGUUUUGUUAACUUAUAAAAAAAUUGCUAAAUUUAAAAAAUAUGAAUUAACUAAAACUAGAGCUAAAUAGAAGAAUGAAAGGAAGGAAGAAAAAAUAUACUAGAGAGAGAAUAAGAGAGUAUUUGCAUUAUGUUCUUCAAGGUGUAUUUCUAUAAAGGCACGUUAGUCCUAUUUAUAGGUAAUAAAUCUUAUAACUUAUAAGUAUAAUAGGAGUCUACUUUUAACUAUGGAGUUAUACGAUAUAGAAAGAUGAACAUUCUUUAAAUACUCUAAUUAUUUACAAUACUCCCCCUAAUGAAAAUUUUAUUAAACAAACUCUGUCACGAAAACGGCUAAAACUGUAUUUAUGUAAAAACUGACUCAUUAAAAAAAAUUCAAGAAAAACUGAAGAAAAAAAAUCAAAUUUUAAGAAAAAAGAAUGUAUUAUUUAUUUAUUUAUCCCCCACACAAUAACCUCUAAAACAAGGAAGAUCAAAUUUUCGUAAAAGUUGUUGAAAAAUUUACUAAGUGGUGACUUUGUACAAAUAUGUAUCAUCAAUUAGUUGAAGAUUACAACCAAAAAAUAUUUUACUAAAAUACAUUUUAUUCUAUCUCCUUUAACAAAUCAUUCUCCACUAAGGUGUGCAUGCAAUGUUAUCCUCGUAAAUAAUUAAUGUAGUUAUUUUUCUAGAACUCAAAUCAUUAUUCAUUUGCAUGUGUUGAAUCAUGAUAGAUCUAACUCAAAAUACCUUCUCAACUUACCUCAUGUAAUACUAAAAUUUCUACAUCUAUAAGAUAACCAAGUAUAUAUUUCACCAUAUUCUAAUGUCGUUGUGUAUAUAUAUAAAGGACUACAUUUGUUUAAUAGAUAGUUUGAUGCAAAUGAUAUUUCACAAUAUAAUUAGAAAGAUACAUAACUAUCUAAUUGCACUAAUAUAUGAAAUUUUAUGAUCAAAUAGUUGAUAUUCAGUCAUUUUCUCUAGCUUAAAAAAUAUAUUUGUUCACAAUUGAUGAUCUUACAACCAUCAAAAUGCACAAUUGAUGUGAUUUGUCUAUAUUGAACCAUUUUAGCACAUUUUCUAGUUAAGCUUCAAGAUUCAAAGAAAAAUUAUUCUUUAAAUACUCAAUUUGUAACCUCAAGCAAAUUUAUAUCCUUCUUAUGUAUUCCAUUUCAAACGUUUUCUCUAAAAAAUCAGAUUUUAGAAGCUCUUCCUAAGUUCAAAUAAUAUUUAAAUCAUCAACAUAAACAAUAAAUAUAGCACACUUUUUAAAAAAAUGAGGGAAGGAGAAAGUAUUAUUAAAAUGACACAAAUUAUCAUUUUACAAUUGUCCCAAAAGAUAUUUGAAAUAUGUAUUUUAAGGUUAUAAUUUUAAACUCUUACAGUUGAGCUAACACUUUAUGGACAUACUUAUAGCAAGUUCAUUUCUACAUAUUUUCAAAUAAAUACAAAGAUAAAUAUGAUAUUUCAUAUCAUUCAUUUAAGAGAUAUUCAAUGAGACAAUUAUACUACAUGUAAACGCAUGUAUUAAUCUAUAAAAUGACUUAUUCAAUAUAAUAUUGAGUAAUCUAUGUUGAAAUUAAACUUACUAAUUAAUCAAUACAAAAGAUGCUCAAUAUAAAGAUUAAAACUAUAAUCAUACUCUAGUGCAGAAGUCAAAUAACAUUUGAACAUGCAUUUAAUUAAAAUCUAUCAUAUAUUUAAUUUAUCAAAAAUAUUAAUACCAAGAUUAUGAAUGCAUUGAUUGUAGCAUGUCAAUAGUAUGCCUUAGACGCUUUUCAAAUGGGGAUAAUAGGCUGUGUGCGGUGUGUCCGAUAUAUCGGAAAUCGUGGAUCAACGAGGAACAUCCACUCAUAUUUGAGUCGGACACAUAUCACUUUAUUAAUUUAAUUAAUUAUCCAAAUAAAAAUUUAUUGAAUUUAAUUUAUAUAUAUUGUUUGUAUAAUUAUGUGAAUUGAGUUUUUACAUUGUCGGUAAAUGAAAAACGUUACAUCAUUAAAGAUUAAAGAUGUUUGACUUUUAUAAUUAUCUAUAAUGUCAUGUUCAUAAAUGAUUGUAAUGAUUGUCGAUGUAAGACUUUUUAUAUAAACUCAAAUCUAAUUAACCUUAUUACUUAAUUUGACCACUAAUCAAUUAAUCAUCCUAAUUAAUAAAUAACUAAUAUAAUUAAUAUAAGAUACAGGGCCUCAUAAUAUUGAAAUAUAAUUAAAUAAUAAAUUGUUCUAACAUCUCUUCUAGUUGGAAAUUGACACUAAAUUAUUGUUGGUUGCAUUCUAACAAUAUAUCAUGCCUCAUUUGUUGUACUAAAAAAAGUAAAUUAAGUUUUGCUAAUAUAUAUAUCUCUAAUAUUUAGAGAAUCAACGUAAAUGGUACCACAAGCUUUGGAGAUUCUAUUGUAACUAUGCUGCAUGGAUGCCAUGUGCACAACAGGUUUAAUAACUCUUAAAGACAAGAAUAGUACCACACAAACUUUGUGGUGCAUGGAAGCCAUUUGGACAAAGUAAAACAAGGUAGUUUUGAUACCCUUUUGGAGACAACCAUAAAGUUUGGAGUGUGAUGCAUGAAUGACAUGUGCACAAGCUUUCUUAACCACUUGGAGGAAUUGAUUUCAAUGUAUGACAAGAAUAGUACCACACAAACUUUGUGGUGCAUGGAAGCCAUUUGGACAAAGUAAAACAAGGUAGUUUUGAUACCCUUUUGGAGACAACCAUAAAGUUUGGAGUGUGAUGCAUGAAUGACAUGUGCACAAGCUUUCUUAACCACUUGGAGGAAUUGAUUUCAAUGUAUAACAAUGGCAUACGACAAGCUUUGCAUGCAAAUGUAACUAAAUAGUUGCAUGUGAAAUUACUAUAUAUAUGACUACCUUGUAACAUUCAUACACACACCCAACAAAUUAGUUUUUAUAGAGUCAUCACUUCUUCGUAGUCAAUUAAUUAAUGGAGUUUGCACGUAUCUCUGUUUUAGUUCUGUUUUGUGUAAGCUAACUUAUUUUUUUACUUUAGAAUCUUUUAAUUUGCAAUUUCAAUUAAUCUCAUUGUUAUUUACUUUAAGAAUUAAUGCAAGCAUAAAAAGUUUUCAAUAAAAAUUGAAGAGAUGAACACUUUUUUUAAACAAUACUAAUAUGUGAUGGGAACAUUUUUUUGUAGUUGGCUUUUGUGGAAAUUGGUGCAUCACCAGCUGAAGAUUAUUGGCGAUCUAUUUGGCCAAACACUCCUCUGCCUAAAGCUUUCUUUGAUUUGUUGUUGCCUUGUUAGUAAUAUAUAUUAAUAUAUAUGUGUGUGUCAUGUGUGUUGUCUGCAUGAAUGAAUAAUUUUUACUUUAAAUCAUAAUGGUUAAACCAAUGAUUACAUGUUCAUGUUUAAGUUGAAAAUGUUUAUAAAAAUAAAGGACCUAUGUGGGAAAAGUAGAGAUAAAGCUGUAAAUGUUUAUAAAGAUAAAUGAUAUGUGUGGGAAAAAAAAUAAAAAAGGUGGAUAUUUUACUACUAAAUAAGAUAAAGGAUUUUAGAUGUAAUUAUACCUUAAUUUUAAUUUUUUUUGCAAUAGGUGUAUAGAAUUAGAUAUUGGUUUAUUAUGUGUAUUUCUUCAAAUUUAAUGUAAGGAUCCUCUGCAUUUGUUUUAUGGUACAUCAUAUAUAAGUAUAGUAGAUUUAGAGAGAAAAAUAUCAUCUCUCUAAAUUCAACUAAGCUACUACACUAUAUAGUUUUAUAGUUGGUCAAGGGAUCUAAUUUGUAUAUCGAGAGCUCUAUAACUCAAUUGCUCGUAAUAUGAAUGUUAUCAUUUCAUGUGUAAAUUAGUGCCUCAUAACAAGACUUAGGAUCCAUUGUUUGAUUAAUAUGCAGAUGGAAGAAGCAAUAGUCUACCCAUUAGUGCCAAAGAAAUGAAUCAAUAUUCGACACUCUUUUUCGAACAUGACCUCUAUCCUGGAAAGAAAAUUUCUUUAGGUAACAUUCAAUCUUUGGGAAAGACCGUACGACCAUUCAUAAAACCAACACAAGGUGUCACAGACUCCAUAUGGUUGGCAAAUAAAGAGAGACAAAGUCUCGAGGACUUUUGUGAAAGCCCAACUGCUAUAGGAGAACACAAACAUUGUGUAUCAUCUUUAGAAUCGAUGAUUGAUCAUGUCAUUUCACAUUUUGGGACGACAAAGAUUAAGGCGAUUUCAAGUACCUUUGUCCAAAAUCAAGACCAAUAUGUUGUUGAGGAAGUGAAAAAAGUUGGAGACAAUGCAGUGAUGUGUCACAGAUUAAAUUUUGAAAAAGUUGUAUUCAAUUGCCACCAAGUGCAAGCAACAACAGCUUACGUGGUCUCAUUAGUAUCCCCUGAUGGAACUAAAGCUAAAGCCUUAACAGUUUGUCACCAUGAUACAAAAGGUAUGAAUUCUGAGUUGCUUUAUGAAGCUCUCAAAGUUGACCCUGGAACUGUUCCUGUUUGCCAUUUCAUCGGCAAUAAGGCUGCUGCUUGGGUACCUAACCAUUCUAAUGACCAUCUUUGUGUCAUCUAGAUGUUAACUUGUUGUGCAUGUCAUCUUUCUUAUCAAUAAAAUCAUGCUAAAAUCACACUUCAAAUAUGAGCAUUUUCAACUUCAUGGAACUCUCAUGUUCAAAUUGGAUUUGACUUUCAUGUUCAAACUAGGUUUGUUUUAAAGUUAUAUAUGCAUGGAGAAAUGUGACGUGCUAAGUAUCAAAUUUCAUGUAUUUCAAAUAAAAC
rnacentral:lncRNA from 1 species